AUGGGUUCCUCGCAGGAAUCCACAUUUUCAUCCGCCUCAACUGCCGCACAAGUCAAUGCUUUGGGCUUACUACCUGUCUAUGCCAAGGAGCUUAUUGCUGGUGGUGCAGCUGGUGCAUUCGCAAAGACCGCCGUCGCGCCACUAGAGAGGGUAAAGAUCUUAUUGCAGACAAGAACUCAAGGGUUUCAAUCCCUUGGGAUUCUCCAAUCCUUGAGGAAGCUGUGGCAAUACGAGGGAGUUCGAGGCUUCUACAAAGGAAAUGGUGCGAGUGUGCUUCGGAUUGUUCCAUAUGCAGCAUUGCAUUACAUGACAUAUGAGCAGUAUAGGUGCUGGAUACUGAAUAAUGCCCCAUCAGUGGGUACAGGACCUGUGGUUGAUCUCUUGGCUGGCUCAGCUGCUGGCGGAACAGCAGUUCUGUGUACCUACCCUUUAGACUUGGCUAGGACCAAGCUGGCAUACCAGGUUUCAAAUGUAGCCCAACCUGUCAAUUCAUUGGGAAAUUUUGGCCGCCAACCAGUAUAUAAUGGUGUAAAGGAUGUUUUUAAAACUGUUUACAAGGAAGGAGGUGUACGAUCUUUGUACCGUGGGAUAGGCCCAACCCUGAUCGGUAUUCUUCCGUACGCUGGCCUGAAAUUUUACAUAUACGAGGACCUGAAAUCUCGUGUUCCAGAAGAUUACAAGAGAUCUGUUAUAUUGAAGCUCUCUUGUGGGGCUUUGGCUGGUCUUUUUGGACAAACCCUCACUUACCCACUGGAUGUUGUCCGAAGGCAAAUGCAGGUUCAGAACAAGCAGCCCCAGAAUGCAAAUGAUGCCUUCCGCAUAAGAGGAACAUUUCAGGGUCUCUUUCUUAUCAUUCGGUGCCAGGGGUGGAGACAACUGUUCGCUGGCUUGAGCCUUAAUUAUGUCAAGGUUGUCCCGUCAGUUGCUAUUGGUUUCACGACAUAUGACAUGAUGAAAAAUUUGCUGGGAGUACCUCCACGCGAGAAAGCUCACCCAUUGACUGGUAACAGCAACAAAUGA
rnacentral:rRNA from 1 species